rnacentral:rRNA from 1 species
GACGAACGCUGGCGGCGUGCUUAACACAUGCAAGUCGAACGGUAAGGCCCUUCGGGGUACACGAGUGGCGAACGGGUGAGUAACACGUCGGUGAUCUGCCCUGCACUUCGGGAUAAGCCUGGGAAACUGGGUCUAAUACCGGAUAGGACUCCUUGCUUCAUGGAUGGGGGUGGAAAGCUUUUGCGGUGUGGGAUGGGCCCGCGGCCUAUCAGCUUGUUGGUGGGGUAAUGGCCUACCAAGGCGACGACGGGUAGACGGCCUGAGAGGGUGACCGGUCACACUGGGACUGAGAUACGGCCCAGACUCCUACGGGAGGCAGCAGUGGGGAAUAUUGCAGAAUGGGCGCAAGCCUGAUGCAGCGACGCCGCGUGAGGGAUGACGGCCUUCGGGUUGUAAACCUCUUUCAGCUAUGACGAAGCGCAAGUGACGGUAGUAGCAGAAGAAGGACCGGCCAACUACGUGCCAGCCGCCGCGGUAACAC